rnacentral:rRNA from 1 species
UACAGAGGUCCCAAGCGUUGUUCGGAUUCACUGGGCGUAAAGGGUGCGUAGGCGGUCGAGUAAGUCUGACGUGAAAUCUCCGGGCCUAACUCGGAAACUGCGUUGGAAACUACUUGGCUAGAGGAAUGGAGGGGAGACUGGAAUACUUGGUGUAGCAGUGAAAUGCGUAGAUAUCAAGUGGAACACCAGUGGCGAAGGCGAGUCUCUGGACAUUUCCUGACGCUGAGGCACGAAAGCCAGGGGAGCAAACGGG